UACGGAGGGUGCAAGCGUUAUCCGGAUCUACUGGGUUUAAAGGGUGCGCAGGCGGAUAUGUAAGUCAGUGGUGAAAUCUUCCCGCUUAACGGGAAAACUGCCAUUGAUACUAUAUAUCUUGAAUGCUGUGGAGGUAAGCAGAAUAUGUCAUGUAGCGGUGAAAUGCUUAGAGAUGACAUAGAAUACCUAUUGCGAAGGCAGCUUACUACGCAGAUAUUGACGCUCAUGCACGAAAGCGUGGGGAUCAAACAGG
rnacentral:rRNA from 1 species